GGGGUGAGUUGGGGGGGGGGGGGGGGGGGGGGGGCGGAGAAAGCGCUAGGGGGAGAUAAAUAGACACAGAGAAAAGUGAGAGAGGGGGGGGGAGAGAGAGUGUAACUGAGAAGGGAAGAGUCACUAAGCCCAGAAGCUGCUGGGACAGUGCCCAGAGGGGGGGUGGAUGGAGGGAGGGAAGGGAGUAUUUAUUCAUGCGACCUGUUAGCGUCAAAACCAAACAAAAGGCCGUUCCCCCGGAGGGCCAGAGUUUCCUAGACUUGACUUCCAGAAUGCUGGCCUGUUCCAGGCCGCUGCCAGGUCUCAGCAGUGGGCGCCGGGUGCUCGGCAGUGGGUGGGCUCGGUAGUUAGUCAUCUCACUUCUAGCAUUCUCUUCGGCUCUUUCUCUCUCUCUCUCUCGUGAUCUUUCUUCGUCUUUCUCGAACGAGAAUGGACAUUUCUUUCAUCGUCUUUACAGAGCGUUUACGACAGACAUACAGGCUUUAUGCGUAGAGAUUCUCACGAGUGGAAUUAGUAGCAUUUCCUACAGGUUACUAGUCAACAGCAACUAGUGACCACUUUGACUCCAAGAGGGACAUCUGGUGGCCAAGUAAGGAACUGUCUAUUCUACAACACUACUGGGUUAACACCAAUCCUCUUUUGUUCUCUCUCUGCCUUUCUCUCCCUUUUACAGUCCUGGUUCCUCUGACACGACCUAUCUUCAAACCAGCAACUAGAAUUCUUUCUUCACAAUCGGGAACCUUAUCAAGGAAAACAGAGGAAAUAACCCACAGGAAAUCGCCCUCCUCCAAACCCCGCCCCCUCGCCCCGUCUCCCACAGCAACAGGCACGCCAACCGGGAAAUCGGCACGAGCCAAUCAGAUGAUCACUCAACCUACACAGAGGGAACCCCCAACACUCAGAGGAUACGAGGAGGAGGAGAACAUGGUAAACGCAGGAGAGAGGAAGAAGGGUCAGUCAACCAGCCAGCCAGCCAAUCAACCAGCCAGCCAGCCAAUCAACCAGCCAGCCAGCCAGCCAGCCAGCCAGCCAGUCAGUCAUUCAUCUCUCAGAGCCAGCAUACAGAUGGAGCAGGAACUCGAGGAGGAACGUGGUGGGAACGCGUUGGUCAUCCAAUGGAACCCCCCAGCUCGACAACAGUCGCACCAGUCAGCACGUGGAGUAGGAAAUUGAAAUGCAGAAAAAACAUCACGUCUAAAGAACCCCCCCCCCCCCCCAAAAAAAAAACAAACAAACAAAAAAAACAUUUGGCAGAAUGAACCACCCGGAGACAAUUGGGUCAAAGUGGUCGCACCAUCCCAGCCGCACGCACACUCUCACAGACACGUACACACCUCAAACCCACCGCAACCUCCUGGACCCCGUUGACUUGACCCGGCCCCUCUAAUACUAACCAGACAGAGACAAUGCCAAAAGAAACAUAUCGUGAACAAGGAGUUGCACUACAAUCUGAACAAACACUAAUCUUUUGAUGUGCACUAUUACAUGCAGGCUGGCGAACAAGGAGAAACAUCCUUGAUGCGAGGCAGAGUCGUCUCCUUCCCUCAGUCUAACGGUCUACGAGCCGGUUCAUCUGCCUCACAGCCUGCUCCUCUAAACAGCAGCUCGAGACCAGCACCAGGCGACCAGCCUCCAGGACCUGGCAUCGUAACCCCCAAGACUGAAACCCAAGCUGGGCUAACGCGACACCACCAACCAGCUCCUAAGGCCCAUACUCUCCUUCAAACGAUGAAGAACGGCAAACACAAGUCAUUAAAGCACGGCGUACGUCCAUGCACGGUCACACACUGACAUAGGGACAGGCCUCGCCGUCAUGCACAUCGUGACCCAUGUCGGCUGUUGGGGUAUGUGAGCGGUUUGUGGCGAAGUACAGAAAUAGGUGGUGUGACUGCCUCCUCCCUAGAUACUAUGCACUCAUGAUUAUGACCAGUCACAUCUCUCCACUUCUUGUAUCAGACAAAUACCCCCCCCCCCAAUAUACCAUACACACAUCCAUACUAACACACACACACACCUGGUAACCCCCCCCCGACUCCCCCUUGGCCCUAUUUGUGUAAAGAAAAAGAAAAAAAGUUAUCUUCUGUUAUCUUAUGUCUUCUCUUAUUUGACUCGUUCCUUUUGAAUUUAUACCAAUUUUUUUAUUCGAUUUUUGUUUUGAUAUUUGAAGCACCUUUGACAGCACCUUAUGGGAGAGGGAGUGUUGGGGUGGGGUGAAGUGGGAGGAUAGAUGCGUAGACAGGGUGGCUUGAUGGUGAGAGGGUGCCAGUAGAGCGUGUUGGAGGGGGAAACGGUGAGAAUGAGGUUGCUACGGAAACCCAGUACCGCUCUUUCCUUCUGUCUCCCUAAAGUUUACCCUCCUUGUUUACACUCCCAGAAUGCACUCGUUCCAAGAACAGAGCGCCACACUGCGGAGCAAAAUCAAAUAUGUGACAUAUCUCUACCCAUGAUGCUCGGGGAGGAGGAGGAAGAGGAGGAGAGGAGAGGCCUGGGGUCAGAGUUCAGUCAGCUGUUUUUUUAGGGGCGGCCUGAUAGGAUGAGGGGGUUGCUAUGGUAACCAGCUCUCUGUCCCAACCUCGCCCCCUUACCCAGCCUUGGUAAGACAAACAUAGAAUUCAAUCAGUCCUUGUUGAUCAAAGUGCACUAAAGUUACCUUACCUUACCAGCCAACCAUAGGACAGGACUCGGCCCGGGGCAGGAAGCAAGGCUUCACUUUCCUGGUCUCAGUCGGACACAAACAACCACCACUAGUUAGGGCACGGCAUCGCUGAAAACACACACACACACAGCCACCUGCUAAAAACACACACACACACACACAGCCACCUGCAAACCUUUUUAGCAACAGUCAGUGUUGAAAACCAGCACCCAGCCAGAUUGACUUGAAAGGGAAGUCUUAAUGUUAUAGGACAAUCUGAGGAAGCCUUUAGCUUUUUGUUUUUAUCCUGCCUAUUAGAACCCACCAUUUAGUAUUCAUCAAAAGAUUUUUACGAAACGGAACAUAAAAAUCCAAUCGACUUCAACCCACCUCACAAAAUAACUGGACUGCCCAUGCCAUGUAAUUCAGUGCAGGGAAGCCGACUAACGAAGUGGUCGUUGCCAAUGGCGACCAUCUCAUCCGUUCCACGAGGAAGAACUAGCUAGCACUGCGGGGAUAACUCUUUCCAGCAAGGCUACUGGGGAUUUCUUUUCUAAUCUAUGGAAGUGCCUCUGUAUUCCCAUUAUGCAAUUUGUUAAAACAUGAAUUCAGGUUAUUUUCUUUCUCACAUAUAAGCUAUGGUGAAAUCUUAUGCCUGGAAAGGGAAGGGGUGGUGAGCUCACUAGAUAAUCGCAAGCAUCUUUAUAUAUAUAUAUAAUACACAUAUAUAUUUAUAGAUAUAUACAUUUUUUUAUUUGCAAAAUAAGCUCUGUGGCAGUCUAGUUAUUUUUUGAAGCGUGGCACAGAUAUGUAUCUCAAACCGCUGAUUUGCGCAAAAGUACCAGUAUCAUGAACCCACACACACACACACACACACACCCGCGUCUGAUACAGACACAAGCCUCCAGACACACAGGCAACAAUAGAGGAGGUGACGUCGUGGUGUAGUCAAAAGAUCGGUUUUAGGCGGACGGAUUUCUUAGUUCUUUGUUGUUUCGAUGGGAAGUAUUGUUAUUGAAAAUUGAAAAUGAUGUGUAUGUUGAUAGAGCCAUGUGCAAUGCCUUGGAUAGAUGAAUUGUGUUUGUCUGUUUGAUUGUUUUGAGGGUGUAAAGAAAAGGAAAGAGUGGGAAGACCCUCUGUUUUUUUGUUUUCAAGUCCUUGCGCUCCGGGACUCUAAAUACGAGGGCUGAGAAAAAACCCCAGUCUUUGUAAGUUUGGGGAUUUCUUUUUUUUUUUUAUUAUAGCUUUUUUUUAAAUAAAUUCUUUUGUUUGUAUUGAUUUGUUUUCAAAAUGUGGGAGGGCUGAAGGAACGUGUUUGCAUAACAAAAAAUAUAUAUCACUAAAUGAAACUGGUGCUUUUUACAAGAUAAAGUACAGUCAAACUCUAUUAUACAUACAUAAUAAACAAAAUUAAGUGUUAUCAUAAAGCAAAAAAAAUAAUUUAGGAAAAACUUUCAUUAUUCUAUUUCUCUUUUUGUAUUUACCAAGGGGGGAGGGGUUCAUUGUGUGACAAAAGGCAUUUUUCUUCAACCUUUGACCCCUAGGGAGAGGGAAGAGACCUCAGCACAGUCUGAAGGAGAAAGGGCUUUCUAAACAGAGGCAUGAACUAACACAGUACUGUCUGUGUACAAAGUCCUGUUGCGAUACACAAAAUCAUUAUCGCCACACAACUGGCUAUCCUUGACAGCCAAAACAUGCCCUUUUAUGGUAUAGAAUCCCUCUUCUGUAUUCCAAUUGGUUUACCCUGUGGACAUCAAACUGUCCAAUCAGAGUAAAGACAACAUUUGGUGUACUAAAGACAAGAUCUUCCCGCUUCUGGGAGAUGCAUCUGAAUUGGAAUCCGAUUUUGUAGAAAAGUGUUCACUCCAAACCCGGGUGACUUUGCAGUGUUUGGCGAGAUGGGAGAUGUGUUGUGAAAUCCAUUUUGGUAGGUGUAGUUGAUGUGUAGUACUCCUGUCUCGACCUGAGGAGAGAGAGAGAGAGAGAGAGAGAGAGAGAGAGAGAGAGAGAGAGAGAGAGAGAGAGAGAGAGAGAGAGGAGAGACUGAGGGAGACCCUGAGAACAGGUGGAGAGACCACAAGGUGAACCCUUCCCCCUCCACACAGGCUCCCUGUCCCCACCACGGUGUAAAUGACUCUAAAUAUUCUGUUUGGUGACGUAGUGUUAAUAGUGACAGAGCAUCUUAAAGGUUGUCCCUAAAAAGUGCCUUUUGUUCACAGUCUCCAUCUUGUAAUCCCGAGUGCCCGUCUCAAAAAACGCCCCCCUCCUUCUUCCUUUCUUCUUCUAUAUUCUCCUCCUCUUCUUCUUCGAGCUUUUCAAAGCAGUAUAUAUAUAGUACUAAAGGAAAUUGGUGUGAUUUAGUUCCUCUUUUUAUUGUUGAAUAAUUCAGAAAAAAAACUAAAAAAAAAACUUACAAAAAAAAAAAAAAACAUGUUUUCUUGUCUUGCUUCUCUUCCUCUGUCCUUUGUCUUCUUCUGUCUCUCUUGGACACUGGAGUAGUCUGUAGCCGUGUAAACUUCUCCUUCCCUCCUUCCCCUUCUCUUUCAUCCCUUCCUCAGAACGGGGAGGGGCUGAAGAAAAGAAAAAAAAAUGAAAACGCAAAACCUUUUGUCUGAGCAGAAUGCAGUUAGCUCAUAUGUUAUCCUGUCUGUACGCUUCACAUUGUAUUCCCAUACCUCCAGCUUCUCCAUUCAAACAGCUAAUGUAAGUGAACAAGUUACACCUGCAGGCUCUGGGUUGGGGUGUGGUGAGGUCGUGGCGUGCCUGGGCGUGAGAGGUUUUUCCGUGGGGAACAGAGGAUGAUGAUUGGUCAAUCCUGUCCGGCGGGGUUAAAAGUCACCUAGGAGCUUCUCUUUGAUUGGACUAUCGGAGGGAGCUGGCCAACAGGGAGCAGAGUAGAGUAGAGUAAAGGGCAGGCUUGUUUGUCAUUAUUUUUCUCAUUUUUUUUUUUUUUUAAUUACUUAAUUUGGAAUUUGCGUUCAUUUGAUCCAUUUCUGGUUAUUGUAUAACAUAGGCAGUGAAGACUGUAGACCUGCAGUGGUAUGAUAGCACAUUGCUAGUGGUUGUAUGUGACCAGACCCUUGUAUUAAAGUACCUGAUGACAACCAAGCACCUCAGCGGGUCAGAGCCAGACCAGGAAGUGUGUCAGUCACCCAGUCCACAGAAACAGAGCAGCAUUAGAGCCCCUCACAGUGAAAUGCAGAGAUCCAACCCAACACGCUUCCUUAGAGCUGGAGGUUUUUUACGUCUGUAGGGCACAGUGUUUACUGCAGUAUAUCCCCCCCCCCCAUUGGACAGUUUCCCUCCCUGCCCCCCCGGGAGCGUUUAGUCACCCCCCUCUUCAGACACACCUCCCAGAGCCUGUGGUGAAAUGCAUGUGUUAAUUACAGUUUCUUUUCCAUAAUAAGAAAAACACAGUUUGAAAGAGCACCACCUUCAACUGAUUGAAUAAAAGGAUGUUCUUUACUGUAA